AUGACGUUUGACCCUGGCCCCUAGAUUUUUAACCGGGUACCCGAAAGUUUUAACGGGGACCCCUGAAUUUUUUAUGGGGGACCCACCUAUUUUUUGGGGUAACUUCGGGAAACCGGAGCUAAUACCGGAUAACAUAUUGAACCGCAUGGUUCAAUAGUGAAAGGCGGCUUUGCUGUCACUUAUAGAUGGAUCCGCGCCGUAUUAGCUAGUUGGUAAGGUAACGGCUUACCAAGGCAACGAUACGUAGCCGACCUGAGAGGGUGAUCGGCCACACUGGAACUGAGACACGGUCCAGACUCCUACGGGAGGCAGCAGUAGGGAAUCUUCCGCAAUGGGCGAAAGCCUGACGGAGCAACGCCGCGUGAGUGAUGAAGGUCUUCGGAUCGUAAAACUCUGUUAUCAGGGAAGAACAAAUGUGUAAGUAACUGUGCACAUCUUGACGGUACCUGAUCAGAAAGCCACGGCUAACUACGUGCCAGCAGCCGCGGUAAUACGUAGGUGGC
rnacentral:rRNA from 1 species